UAUCAGGGGUUUUCUCAAAUUACAGUGGAUGCCCUCUAUGCCCUCCAUCUGUUUGGAGCAUCUCCAAAAAACUGUUUUUGUUUGCUUCUUCCUUGUUUUCGAUGUUCACAUUCAUGUCCAAUAAAAAGUCUUCUGCAUUACAGUUUUCCUGAACCAGAUAAUGGAAGGGCAUGAAAUUUCGGUAUUUUGUGCUAUGGAAGAGAGAAGGGAUAGAUGUAGAAGAGUACUAAAAAGGGACUCAUUGUUUGAGGUUUGUAGUGAGCCAGGCCAAGUUACCUAUGUUAAGAAAUUCACUUCUUGUGGCUGCAAUGCCAACUGCCUCCACAAGCCAGAUUCUUGGAAACAACGAGUGGUUUGAGCCAUAUGCUUCCAAUAUUUACAGUCGCAGAUUCCUAAGCGGUGAAUUUGUGGUAGUUAACAAACAUCUUCUUCAUGGCUUAACGAGAUGGGUCUCUGGUCUUUUGUUAUUAAGAACAAAAUCAUAUAUGACGAUGGCUCUGAUCAGAAGAUCCCAGAAAUCCCUGACGAACUGAAAGCAAUUUAUAAAAUACCAAUCCAACUUCUCUGCUCUGUCCCUUCCAGUUUUCUCUAUUUCAACUCUCAGAAUAAACGAAUACAUUUUUGCUACCACUUCAGGAAUGUUUGGGAGAUCAGGCAGAGGACAUUGGUCGACAUGGCUGUUGCCCGAGGCUCUUACAUAGAUCAGAGCCAAAGCCUCAACAUUCAUAUGGACCAGCCCAAUUUUGCGAGGCUAACUUCCCUACACUUCCAUGUUUGGUCGAGGGGUUUGAAGAUCAGAAUGUACUAUCUUCGCUCACAUGCUGCAGCCAAUGCAAUCAAAAUCACUGUCGAUACUUCCAUGCCCAGGGUAACCUGUAUUCAAUUCUGAAGAUCAGAAUGUACUAUUUUCGCUCACAUGCUGCAGCCAAUGCAAUCAAAUUGGCAGCUCAUUCAUGAGGGAGCUUCUCAAAUUACAUUGGAUUCUCUCUUUGAAAUCAUUUGAUGACUCAUCGUGAUAGACGGGCAUCUCUUUCCCAAAAUUUAGACAUUUCACUGAUGAAAAACAAUGCUCUUGUUCAGGCUCAGAUUGCUGCAUCUCUUUCCCAGCUCAGACAACAUUGUAAUUGAGAUCAAACCAAAUUAAUCUGCGUAGAUAUGUUCAAAUUCUGAGUAAAAGUUUCUGACUGAUUUACCGUUUCCAUGUUGGAUGAUAUGAACAAGUGUCCCUUAGCAAAGAACAAUAAUAAAUAUGGAGAGCUGAUGAAUAUUCAGGUGGCUACCCUGGGGAAUGGUGCAACUACGGUUUCCGCAACCAAAUUUUUUGCUUCUAUGGUUGGCAUCCCAGUGUUUGUUACCGGGGAAAACAAGAUGUAUACUGGCAUGGAGAGCAGAGAAACUCAGGGAGUUUGUGUUGCUGCUUACAAGACUCAUGAGUUCUCAACUUUUUCCAUUGAAACUAGUGGCUGCAAUAAAAAGGAGCUGAGUGGGAAAGCAGUUCAACAUGCUAGGCAACCGUUGAAGGCAUAUAUGAGGCAAUUUUUUUCCUUUUCUUUAUAUCAAUCUAUUUGUUCUAUCCAAUUUGUGAUUUAAAAUUUAAUUCACUUGUGAUGAAAAUACUUUAGAGUUAAUUGUCGAUGGCCCUUCAUCCAUUUGGAACAUUUCCCAUAUACUUUCUGUAUAAUCAUAGCCAUCCAUCAUCACCAGUUAUGGGAGCAGAAGAUUGUUGAAGACAACCUCAUGACAUGCAGUGUUUUGUGCUAUUGGAAGAGAGAAGGGAUAUAUGUAGAAGAGUACUCAAGAAGAACUUAUUUAAGGUUUGCCUUACUGAGACAUUUGUUCUCCUUGAUCUUAUUGAAACCGGGCAUCAAAUUCACUCUGCCAAACUUUUUUGUCAUACUGGAAAACAUUGACUGGCCAGCAAAUACCUUGUGUAUCCUCACUUCUUGAAGGUUAUCAAAGAGAGGACGGAUGGUGUUAGAUGAGAUCAUUUAAUGGCCAAAGCUAAAGAAUCGAAGAAAAUUUUCUAAUAGUUGUGAAGGAUAAGUGUGACAGCUAAGUUAUGGAAGUUAGAUAUGCAAAACACUAAAUAUAUGAUCAUAACUACAUAUUGGGUGUAACCAGAAAGAACUUUAAAUAAAUGUACUAUUAGGUUUGUCCAUGUUCCUCCCUCGAGGAAAGGGGAAAAUGUUGCGUAAGCUGUAUUCAAUUGUUUUAAUGAAUGUAGUAUUCCAAAUAAGGUAAA